GAUGAACGCUGGCGGCAUGCCUAACACAUGCAAGUCGGACGGACAGUGGUGUUUCCUGUGGCGCACGGGUAAGUAACGGGUAAGAACCUGCCCCUGGGAGGGGCUCCCUAGAAGGAUACGGUAGCUAAUACCACGCAGGCCGAGGAGCGAAAGGAGGAAUCCGCCCGAGGAUGGGAUCGUGUCUGAUUAUCUUGCUGUUGCUGCAAUAGCCUACCACGGCGAUGAUCAGAAGUUGGUACGAGAGGACGAUCGGCCACACUGAGACGGAGACACGGCCCAGGCACCUUCGGGAGGCGGCAGAGGGGAAGUUGGCGCAAUGGGCGAAAGCCUGACGGAGCAAUGCCGCGUGAAGGUAGAGUGACUACGGGUCGUGAACUUCUUUUCCCGGAGAAGAAGCAAUGACGGUAUCUGGGGAAUAAGCAUCGGCUAACUCUGUG
rnacentral:rRNA from 1 species